rnacentral:lncRNA from 1 species
CCCACCCUUAAUUUAACCGGAGUCACCAGUCAGCUCCUGAGGCAUAAACAGGCAGCUGAAGCACCGCGCGUAGGCUGACUUUAGUGCUGGAUGCCGAGCAGCGCUUGGCACAGGUGGAGGAGUUUUCAUCACAGACCCAAAUUAACUCCGGUGAAGUUGUUCCGCGCCUGCCAGUGCCGGAGGAGCAAUCUCCGUGUGGGAGAAGCGCCCAGCGCGCCGCCCUCCCCUCCCGGCGCCGCUCGCCCGAACAAAGGCGGCAGCGCCGGGUCCCCUUUGUGCGCCGCGGGCCGGGCACGGAGCGAUCCCAGUGCCCGCCCCGGGCUCCCAGCACGGUCCGGCCCGGCACGGCACGGCCCGGCACAGCUCAGCUCAGCUCAGCUCAGCUCAGCACAGCACAGCACAGCACAGCAGCGCGUCGGGAGGAAGCGCCGGCUGCGCGGCGGGCGGGCGGCUGCCCGGGCCCUGCCCGCCCCCGUCUCCUCCCCUCGGCCGCCGAUUCUCCGCCCCCUCCGCCCUCUCCUCGCGGCGGCGGCGGUGCCUUCCUCGGCCCCGGCUCCUCCGGCUCUCCACGGCUUCGCCUCGCUCCGCUCCGGGGGCUCCCGCGCCGCGCUGCCCAGCACGAUUACGGCUCCCUCCCAUAAGGCCUUAAGCACAUGUGUUGAUCAGCCACCAAUUAAUAAUUUUGAAUUAAACUGAAGGGUAAGUAUAUGUCAACUACAAAGUGUUUUUCUUUCAAGGAAGCUUUAUUUUAGUAAGGCAAGUUCUGAGAAGUUAGAAGAACUAGUUUGUGUUAUCCAUGGAGCUAAAGGCCUGUAGGAGUUGAAGGUUUAAAUUGAAAAAAAGAGAAAAGCUUGGACUGUCUUAAGUGUAAGGUACAAUAGCUGCUUGGAAACUGCAUUUUAAGGAGAAGCAAAAGCUUGCCAAGUUGGGCUGGGGACCUUGCUGUGAGAAUAAGAUACUGCAAGUUACCAGAAAACCUAAAAGGAAUGAAGUAAAGGAGGGGAUUGAUUGUUGGAGAGCAGAAACUGCAGGGAUAGCAUGUGAACUGCCAAAAGUUAGAGGAUGAAGAAAUUUAAGAUGAAGAGAGGGAAAAAAAAGAAAAAGAGCAGAAGAGAAUUUGGCAAUGAUGUUGUAAGGACCAGGCUGUAUGAAAAAUGCUUGAUGCCUCUAAAAUUAGCAGUUCUUGUUUUAGUUGUUUAGUUUUAGAUAUGCAUGAGGAUUGAAUAUGGGAGAAAUACAGGGUGCCACAUGGAAAUGACUGGAAUAAAUGUCUUGUGUCUGCUCCCA